ACAGAGUUAUAGAAGGAGUUACAGGAAAGCACGAUAAUCCCAAUGGGGGAAACCGAAGUGACCUCGUCUGGAGUCGGGGGUGGUUGGGGCAUUGUUAAAGAGAAACCAAGCUGGACCCUAGGUCAAGGCGGUCAAAGCAGACAUUACUCAGUAAUGACUAGAGAAAGAGAUUUCAAGAUGGACUGAGCUCGAUUCCAAAUACAGCAGUGACAACUGCGGAUGGAGAGCCAGUAAGAAGAGCCAGGGGAUCCGUGGAUAAAAAAAUCACAGAGAGGAGACAUCCAGGGCUGCAGGUUCUUGCCUCAGUGGCCAAACAGGAAUUUUGCUGGAGGCAGGCCAGGGAGUUAGGUGUCCAGGGUGGGGAAUGAGGAGGGUGAUCAGAUACCCAGAUGGGGGAGGGCUCACUAAACAGACUGAGCAAGAUUCUUGCUAAAAUCGCACCUUGGUAGGCCAAGGAAGGGCCCAAGGUCAGGCCCCAACAAGAGGGCUCCCAGGAGGCUUUGGUCAGGAGAGAGACUUGGUCAGAGUGCUUCCUGCAGAAAUGGCAUAUUUGGGCUGCAGAAUAAAAGCCGACAGAAGUUGCACGGCGGCAGAUUUCCAAGCAGAGAGAAGGAACCUUCCCCAGUCCCGCUUCUAAGAACAAAGUCCGGGAGGUGUCAUGUGCGUCUUACCAAUUCACACACCAAAGUCGGCCCCCUCCGAUUCAGUUUGGCAGCUGGCCGGGCCGAGCUACGGGAUGGCACACAGAGACAGCUUCCGACCCUCAGCCUCACCUGUCUCUCAUUCCCACGGCCACCAUAGCCAUCAGCACCUGUAACUUCUCCCAGACUGUCCAGAGAUGCCGCUUUUCAGAGGCGGUGCUAUGAAAUAAAGUCGUCGGCGGGUACUUCGUGGCAACCAGCCCAGCUGUGUCUGCUCAGGUGCCCUUCCUCCUUCUUAGUCUCAUUCUUUUUCUCU